rnacentral:rRNA from 1 species
UACGUAGGGGGCGAGCGUUGUCCGGAUUUAUUGGGCGUAAAGAGCUCGUAGGCGGUUCGGUAAGUCGGAUGUGAAAUCUCCACGCUCAACGUGGAGGGGCCAUUCGAUACUGCCGUGACUCGAGUCCGGUAGGGGAGUGUGGAAUUCCCGGUGUAGCGGUGAAAUGCGCAGAGAUCGGGAGGAACACCCGUAGCGAAGGCGGCACUCUGGGCCGGUACUGACGCUGAGGUGCGAAAGCGUGGGGAGCAAACAGG